AUUUAUAUAGUUUAAAUAAAACAUUACAUUUUCAUUGUAAAAAUAAAAUAUAAAUU
rnacentral:tRNA from 1 species